GAGGUUCAUCGCUGUGCCGUACACCCCACCAAAAAAGGCCUACCGAUUUAGGGUUUGCCCAGGAGUAACGGGAAGCACCGCCGCACAGCUCACACCCGCCCUCGCCGUCGACGACCACGCCGGCCUCGUCGAGCCAAGGAGAAGGAGGGUACUACUUGAUGGGAUGCAUCAAGGAUGUGCCAACCCUCAGAGGAGACAACUACACUGAGUGGAGAAAGAAAGUUGACCUGGUUUUCGUCCGUACUAAGGUGGACUAGGUGGUUGACACUCCACAGCCCCCAAGCCGACAGAGCCAUUCAGGGAUGAUAAAGAUGAUGAUGCUGCUUGGGAGAAAAAGAAGAGGGACUAUGCUCCGUUGGAGAUGUCAUACACCCUCGAGAACAAAAAGUGGCUCACCGCCAACAAAAAGUGCAUGGCUUUCAACUGUAGAGUGUGCUUUCGUAGGGGAGUAUCUUGAAAAGAUAAAGAGCCAUUUCACUAGUUGUUCAAAGAUAUAUGCUACCCAGCUGCUAAAGCAACUAGUGAUAGAAAAGUACACUGGAGAUGGACAUGGCAUAAGGGAGCACAUCCUCAGGAUGAGCAACAUGGCAGCUAAGCUGAAACCCAUGGAUGCUGAUCUAGACCUCAAGCCUGCACUCCUUGUUCAUCUUAUUAUGGCUUCACUGCCAAAAGAGUUUGACACUUUUGUUGUACAAAGUACAAAGCACGACUCGUGGCAAAAGGAUUUACACAAAGAGAAGGAAUAGAUUACAAUGAGCCAUUUUCACCA